rnacentral:rRNA from 1 species
UACGGAGGGGGCUAGCGUUGUUCGGAAUCACUGGGCGUAAAGGGCGCGCAGGCGGCUUAACAAGUUGGAAGUGAAAUCCUAUGGCUUAACCAUAGAACUGCUUUCAAAAACUGUUAGGCUAGAGUAUGGUAGAGGAUGGUGGAAUUCCUAGUGUAGAGGUGAAAUUCGUAGAUAUUAGGAGGAACACCGGUGGCGAAAGCGACCAUCUGGGCCAUUACUGACGCUGAGGCGCGAAAGCGUGGGGAGCAAACAGG